rnacentral:tRNA from 2 species
GGGUGUGUAGUUCAGUCUGGUCAGAACACUUGACUGUUAAUCAAGGAGUCGAAGGUUCAAAUCCUUCCAUACCCG